GCCUAACGGCUGAACUGGCAACUUGGAGAAGUGGCAAGUCUUCCAGUAUGGGGAGCAAAACAGCUAUGGGUCAAGUCCGAUAUCUUUAGGAGAAGUCUUAUUGUGAGGGCGAGUUAUAUAACACCAUAGGACUGGCCGUCCCAUAUGAAAAGAUUAUAUUAGAAUUGAAUGAAGCUUUGUUUAUAUAUUGAUAAUGACAGUAUAUAUAUCGUGUCUUGACUAAUUGCGUGCCAGCAGUCGCGGUAAUACGUAAGAGACUAGUGUUAUUCAUCUUAAUUAGGUUUAAAGGGUACCCAGACGGUCAAUAUAGCUUAUAAAAUGUUAGUACUUGACUAGAGUUUUAUGUAAGAGGGCAGUACUUGAGGAGGAGAGAUGAAAUUUCGUGAUACCAAAGGGACUCUGUAAAGGCGAAGGCAGCCCUCUAUGUAAAAACUGACGUUGAAGGACGAAGGCACAGAGAACAAACAGGAUUAGAUACCCAAGUAGUCUUUGCAGUAAAUGAUGAAUGCCAUAGGUUAGAUUAAUCAAUUAUAGUCUAGGGUUAGUCUAGCAAACUAAUGACAGACUAUAAUUAAAAAUAUCUGGUCUAUAAAUGAAAGUGUAAGCAUUUCACCUCAAGAGUAAUGUGGCAACGCAGGAACUGAAAUCACUAGACCGUUUCUGACACCAGUAGU
rnacentral:rRNA from 1 species